GGCCCUCUGGCGCAACGGUAGCGCGUUCGACUCCAGAUCGAAAACAUCUCGAGAUGACAUCGAAAGGUUAUCCGUUCAAAUCGGGUGGGGGUCA
rnacentral:tRNA from 1 species